UACGAAGGGAGCUAGCGUUGUUCGGAAUCACUGGGCGUAAAGCGCACGUAGGCGGAUGUGUCAGUCAGGGGUGAAAUCCCGGAGCUCAACUUCGGAACUGCCUUUGAUACAGCACGUCUUGAGUCCGGGAGAGGUGAGUGGAACUGCGAGUGUAGAGGUGAAAUUCGUAGAUAUUCGCAAGAACACCAGUGGCGAAGGCGGCUCACUGGCCCGGUACUGACGCUGAGGUGCGAAAGCGUGGGGAGCAAACAGGG
rnacentral:rRNA from 1 species